UCGGUUACACACUCGUGGCCCAGGCCGGGUCGUCCACUCAGACCAGCCUCCCGUCCCACCCCCAUCCUUUCCACGGUGGCCGGAGCGAGUCCCUUCCACCGGACGAGCAAACGAUGAACUCGUCGGCGGUCACCUGCUGCUGCCCCCCACCAUCCCCCGCUCCCGGCGGCAAGGCAUCACCCUCUCCACGCCUUAACAACAAGAGCAGCACAAGAAUCGGACGAAGGGACCUGGUGCUCAGGAGCAGCGAGCUCGCCACGCUCGCCGCCAUCUUCCACUUCAGUGGCACCAAGCCGAGCUACCUUGGCGUGCAGAAGAGGCCCCCCGCCCUCGCCUUGUGCCCGGCGACCAACAACUGCGUGUCCACGUCGGAGAGGAUAAGCGACUCCAAUCACUACGCUCCCCCAUGGAAUUACAAUCCCAAGGAUGGCCCCAGGGGUAAACCCAUAAGCAAAGAUGAGGCCAUGAAAGAGCUCAUUGAAGUUGUGACCAAGACAAAGCCGGACAACUUCAGUCCUCGUGUGGUAGAGAAAGGAGACGACUAUGUUCGAGUUGAAUACGAGAGCCCUAUAUUCGGGUUUGUAGAUGACGUCGAGUUCUGGUUCCCUCCUGGCAACAAAUCAAUUGUUCAGUACCGAUCAGCGUCUCGGUCAGGAUUCAUCGACUUUAAUGCUAACAAGAAGAGAGUAAAGGAGCUGAGAUUGGGACUGGAAAAGAAGGGCUGGGCUUCAGAAAGCACCUUCUGAAUAUGAAUCAGCAUAGCUCUAAAUUGAUCAAUUGGUAUAGCAGUAUAUCACUGUUCCUCUUAAUUUGUCACCCUACAGAAUGUCUACUGGAAUUCUGCCAAGCCAGGAGGAACAGCCAGGCGCACUCACUAUGCAACAAUGGAAUGGGGUCAAAAGGAGGAACCAUGCAUGGAUGGGCGCCAUUGAGGGGUCAAACCCAACAAGAUCUAGUGUAGUGUACUCCUUUUCUUUUUUGACUGCCUAGUGUGCUACUACUCGACCAGCUUUCAUCCUGAGCACUACUUAAUUGACUUAGUGCAUUCGUCCGGCACUUGGUGGCUAGCUUUCGUCGACCAGGUGUCGACCAGGCAGGACUCCAAAAAGAAGCUCAAUAUAUAUUUAUGUUUCAUUA